GCCAGGAUUGGACAAAAAAAGGAUGGCCGAGUGGUUGAAGGCGCUAGAUUUAAGCUCUAGUCCUCGUUAGAGGGUGUGGGUUCGAACCCCACUUCUGACA